CCUACGGGAGGCAGCAGUGAGGAAUAUUGGUCAAUGGACGAGAGUCUGAACCAGCCAAGUAGCGUGAAGGAUGACUGCCCUAUGGGUUGUAAACUUCGUUUAUAUGGGAAUAAAAUGUUCCACGUGUGGGAUUUUGUAUGUAACAUAUGAAUAAGGAUCGGCUAACUCCGUGCCAGAAGCCGCGGUAAUACGGAGGAUCCGAGCGUUAUCCGGAUGUAUUGGGUUUAAAGGGAGCGUAGGUGGAUUGUUAAGUCAGUUGUGAAAUUUUGCGGCUCAACCGUAAAAUUGCAGUUGAAACUGGCAGUCUUGAGUACAGUAUAGGUGGUCGGAAUUCGUGUGUAGCGGUGAAAUGCUUAGAUAUCACGAAGAACUCCGAUUGCGAAGGCAGCUCACUGGACUGCAACUGACACUGAGGCUCGAAAGUGUGGGUAUCAAACAGGAUUAGCUACCCCUGUAGUC
rnacentral:rRNA from 1 species